UACAGAGGUCUCAAGCGUUGUUCGGAUUCAUUGGGCGUAAAGGUGCGUAGGCGGCGCGGUAAGUCGGGUGUGAAAUCUCGGGAGCUUAACUCCGAAACUGCAUUCGAUACUGCCGUGCUUGAGGACUGGAGAGGAGACUGGAAUUUACGGUGUAGCGGUGAAAUGCGUAGAUAUCGUAAGGAAGACCAGUGGCGAAGGCGGGUCUCUGGACAGUUC
rnacentral:rRNA from 1 species